rnacentral:rRNA from 1 species
UUGAUCCUGGCUCAGGAUGAACGCUGGCGGCGUGCCUAAUACAUGCAAGUCGAGCGAAUGGAUUAAGAGCUUGCUCUUAUGAAGUUAGCGGCGGACGGGUGAGUAACACGUGGGUAACCUGCCCAUAAGACUGGGAUAACUCCGGGAAACCGGGGCUAAUACCGGAUAACAUUUUGAACCGCAUGGUUCGAAAUUGAAAGGCGGCUUCGGCUGUCACUUAUGGAUGGACCCGCGUCGCAUUAGCUAGUUGGUGAGGUAACGGCUCACCAAGGCAACGAUGCGUAGCCGACCUGAGAGGGUGAUCGGCCACACUGGGACUGAGACACGGCCCAGACUCCUACGGGAGGCAGCAGUAGGGAAUCUUCCGCAAUGGACGAAAGUCUGACGGAGCAACGCCGCGUGAGUGAUGAAGGCUUUCGGGUCGUAAAACUCUGUUGUUAGGGAAGAACAACCACUAGUUGAAUAAGCUGGCACCUUGACGGUACCUAACCAG